rnacentral:misc_RNA from 1 species
UAUUUCUCAAAGGAAGUACAUACUAGAUAUGUUGGAGGAAACAGGAAUGAUAGGUUGUAAACCAAUAGAGUCUCCCAUUGAGGCAAAUCAUAAAUUGCAAGCUAGAGUUGGGGAAUCCGUGGAUAUUGAGAGAUAUCAGAGGUUAGUUGGCAGACUGAUUUACCUUUCGCAUACCAGACCAGAUAUAGCAUAUGCAGUGGGUCUAGUGAGUCAGUAUAUGCAUGAUCCUCGUGAACCUCAUUUGGAGGCUAUUUUCCGCAUCUUGCGAUACUUAAAAUCUGCACCUGGGAAAGGACUUCUUUUCUCAAAGCAUGGCCAUCUUCAGAUUAAGGCCUUUACAGAUGCAGAUUGGGGUGGAUCUCUUGAUGAUAGGAGAUCAACAUCAGGUUAUUGUACUUUGAUUGGUGGUAAUCUAGUCUCUUGGAGAAGCAAUAAGCAAAAUGUGACGGCUAGAUCCAGUGCAGAGACCGAAUUCAGAGCAAUGGUUCAAAGUAUCUGAGUUAUUGUGGUUGCGGAAGCUGAUGGAGGAAUUAAAACUGUUGGAAGCUAAUCGUUUGUCCUUGUUUUGUGAUAACAAAGCGGCCAUCAGUAUAGUUUACAAUCCAGUUCAGCAUGAUCGGA